rnacentral:misc_RNA from 1 species
GAUGAAGAACGCAGCAAAAUGCGAUAAGUAAUGUGAAUUGCAGAAUUCAGUGAAUCAUCGAAUCUUUGAACGCACCUUGCGCUCCUUGGUAUUCCGAGGAGCAUGCCUGUUUGAGUGUCAUGAAAUUCUCAACCUUUUCAGCUUUCUUUGUUGAUCAGGCUUGGAUGUGGGAGUAUGCGGGCUUCUCAGAAGUCGGCUCUCCUGAAAUGCAUUAGCGGGACCUUUGUUGCCUGGCUUUGGUGUGAUAAUUAUCUACGCCAUUGUAGUCAAGCAGCUUAAAAUGAGGUUUCAGCUUCUAACCGUCUCCCCUGAGACAACUUUUUGACAAUUUGACCUCAAAUCAGGUAGGACUACCCGCUGAACUUAAGCAUAUCAAUAAGCGGAGGA